rnacentral:rRNA from 1 species
CACGUAGGGUGCGAGCGUUGUCCGGAAUUAUUGGGCGUAAAGAGCUCGUAGGCGGUGUGUCGCGUCGGCCGUGAAAACCUGCAGCUUAACUGUGGGCUUGCGGUCGAUACGGGCAUCACUGGAGUUCGGCAGGGGAGACUGGAAUUCCUGGUGUAGCGGUGAAAUGCGCAGAUAUCAGGAGGAACACCGGUGGCGAAGGCGGCAUCCUGGACCGGCAUUGACGCUGAGGCGCGAAAGCUAGGGGAGCAAACGGGG